rnacentral:rRNA from 2 species
GGGCCGCACGCGCGCUACACUGACGGAGCCAGCGAGUCUAACCUUGGCCGAGAGGUCUUGGUAAUCUUGUGAAACUCCGUCGUGCUGGGGAUAGAGCAUUGUAAUUUUUGCUCUUCAACGAGGAAUUCCUAGUAAGCGCAAGUCAUCAGCUUGCGUUGAUUACGUCCC